GCACCGCGUGCGCAAAACCCAGCUGACGACACACCACGGCGGCUGCCUUGGUGUCCCAGGCGUCGUCGCACACCGUGCCCCAGCGUCCGCCUAUGAACACUUCCACGCGACCGCGGCCGGGGCUCAGGCCUGCGGGCCGUACCAGACGCACCGAUCCGUUCUCGGGUUCGGGGACCGCGAACCUGAGGGGUAUGACCGGGAUGAGGAGACGAAACCUUUACCCUGGAGAAGAUGAACAUUUCCAAGGCCAAGAGAUGACAACGGAAUGAGGACCAGUGUCUGCAUGUAUGCCUGCAAACCAGAAGAGGGCACCAGAUCUCAUUACAGAUGGUUGUAAGCCACCAAGUCGUUGCUGGGAAUUGAACUCAGGACCUCUGGAAGAGCAGUCAGCACUCUUAACCUCUGAGCCAUCUCUCCUGCCUGGCCUUCUGGAUCUUGUUGCCUCCACUUCCUAAGAGCUGCUAUUAUAGGGAAUGUACCAACCACUCUCAGUUUUUUACCAUGAGCCUUUUUUAAGUCACUGUUGGAGGCACGUGCUUUCAUGCUCCUUCUCCACCUGUCAGGUCCAUGGGACAAACCUUCUGUCAUUGAGAAGUGGUCUCUCAGGCUUGGCUGUAAUCCUGAAAAUUCUGUUUCCCUCGCCCCACUCCCUCUGGCUGCCAGAUAACUCGAGUCAAAACUAAUGCUCUAAGACAAGAUUAUAACCCUCAAAGCU
ensembl:lincRNA 4930478K11Rik RIKEN cDNA 4930478K11 gene